rnacentral:rRNA from 1 species
GGGUGCGAUCAUACCAGCACUAACGCACCGGAUCCCAUCAGAACUCCGCAGUCAAGCGUGCUUGGGCGAGAGUAGUACUAGGAUGGGUGACCUCCCGGGAAGUCCUCGUGUUGCACCCC